GGAAGCUGACUGCUGCACUGGGCAUGUGCAGAAGCAAGCGUGCGGCGGACUGGGCCCUUAGCCAUAAGCGCAGACGCAGAAGCGGCAAGAGGGCCGUGGGUUCAUUCGUUACCUGGCUUCAUUCACCUUUUACCUGGACCCGGGUUACAACUGCAGGUGACCCCUCAACCCAGAUCCAAGUUUCAGGCAACUAUGGAAAAUGCCAACGGUACUGACCAGAACAUGACUGAGAAGUCUCCUCCAGCUGAGGUGGGAAUGGAGAACAUCAUUCAGGAGGUGACUGAGGAGGAACAAGGGCAGCUUCUUUUUCAUGAGGAAACCAUUGACCUUGGUGGAGAUGAAUUUGGGUCUGAAGAGAAUGAGACCAUCUCAGAAGAUUCUAGUAACUUCAUAGAUAAGCUUAACGAGCAAAUGAUGGAAAGUGUGCUCAUUUCUGACUCUCCUAAUAAUAGUGAAGAUGAUGUGGGUGAACUUGGCUGUUUGCAGGAUGUUGUGGAGCCCGUAGAAGGCAACGCGGAUAGCAGAAUGGAAAAGAUAGAAAGAGAAGAAAUUGAUACUCUGAGUAAUGACAGUGAAACUGACCGUGAUGAUACUCCUAAAGAUGUCUCCGACAUGACCCCUGAUAGCAGAGCCUCUUUGAAAGAAGACCCAACACAAGAAGAAGUAAAAGGCGUGCCUGUCUUUGAAAGUGAAGAUGCAGCUGCCUCAGUCCCAAGUGACGAGAAAACUGAUCCCGAAGAACAGAUAUCAGAAAUGUCUUCCAGUCAGUCUUCUUCUAAAGAUGAGCCUGUCCCCGUGUGCACCAUCUUUAGUCAAUCAAACACAGCUAAUUCCCAGUCUCACUUAUUUCUUCACGAUGGCUUUGAGUCUCAGAUGGUAAAAUCUCCUAGUUUCAGCAGUGCAAGUGAAACUCCAGCCAAGACGCCUCCUCAGAUGGUUCAGCCAAGUCCCAGCCUGAGUAAGUUUUUUGGAGAUACGACCACGAGUUCCUUGGCUUCUGACUUCUUCGAUUCGUUUACCACAUCCACUUUCAUUUCUGUCAGCAAUCCUAACGCAGGCUCUUCAGUUCCAGAAAAAUUGUCUUCACUCACCGCUCCAGCGGGAGACAAGUCUCCCGAUUCCGCUGAGCCAUCCUCCUCUCCUGGGAUUGACAGAUCAGAAUCGGCUAUUUCCACAGCCUCUCUAGAAAUUUCUCAGUCACCGAAACCAUUUUCACAGAUACAAGCUGUUUUUGCAGGGAGCGAUGACCCCUUUGCCACAGCCCUGAACAUGAGUGAGAUGGACCGAAGAAAUGACGCAUGGCUUCCUAGUGAGGCGACCAGGAACGUUUUGAUUUCUGUAGCAACUCAACAGUAUAGCACAGUGUUCAUAGACAAAGAGAAUCUCACCAUGCCAGGCUUAAAGUUUGACAACAUUCAGGGAGAUGCAGUUAAAGACUUAAUGCUUCGCUUCCUGGGUGAGCAAGCUGCAGCAAAGAGACAAGUACUAAAUGCCAACUCAGUGGAACAAUCUUUUGUUGGAUUGAAACAGCUAAUUAACAGCAAAAACUGGAGGGCAGCAGUUGACCUAUGCGGACGCCUUCUUACAGCCCAUGGUCAAGGCUAUGGCAAGAGCGGGCUACCUACCAGUCAUACGACAGAUUCACUGCAGCUUUGGUUUGUCAGACUGGCACUGCUGGUGAAGUUGGGCCUUUUCCAGAAUGCCGAAAUGGAGUUUGAACCCUUUGGAAGUCUAGAUCAACCAGACCUGUAUUACGAAUACUAUCCUCAUGUGUAUCCUGGGCGGAGGGGCUCCAUGGUUCCCUUUUCAAUGCGGAUCUUACAUGCGGAACUUCAGCAGUAUCUGGGGAACCCCCAGGAGUCACUUGACAGACUGCAUAGAAUGAAAACCAUCUGCAGCAAGAUUCUAACAAAUUUGGAGCAAGGCUUAGCUGAAGAUGGGAGCAUGAGUAACAUUACACAAGAGAACAGACAAGGUAGCCUCUGUUCAGCUGUGGAGGUCACGCCUGGGCCGGGUGCUGUACUCUAUGGCAAACUGUCUGCUAAUGAUGAAGGAUUACGUGCUGGCCGUCGAGGCCUACCACGCAGUCAUCAAAUGUUACCCAGAGCAGGAGCCUCAGCUGCUGAGCGGGAUUGGACGGAUUUUCCUUCAGUAGAAUUCUAUAUUGCUGUGGCAAAAUUUUUGAAAUUUGGACUAUAUGAAGUUCAGCAGAGCAUCAGGAUUGGAGGAAGACUCAUUAAUAUCCUGCGACAUGCAGAUGACACAACCUUGCUUGCUGAAAGUGAAGAGGACUUGAAACACUGAUGAAGAUCAAAGACCACAGCCUUCAGUAUGGAUUACACCUCAACAUAAAGAAAACAGAAAUCCUCACAACUGGACCAAUGAGCAACAUCAUGAUAAAGACUGAAGUUGUCAAGAAUUUCACUUUAUUUGGAUCCACAGUCAACACCCAUGGAAGCAGCAGUCAAGAAAUCAAAAGACGCAUUACAUUGGGCAAAUCUGCUGCAAAGUCCUCUUUAAAGUGUUGAAAAGCAAAGAUGUCACCUUGAACACUAAGGUGCACCUGCACCAAGCCAUGAUGUUUUCAGUUGUCUCAUAUGCAUGCGGAAGUUGGACGAUGAAUAAGAAGACCGAAAAAGAAUUGACACCUUUGAAUUGUGAUGUUGGUGAAGCAUAUCGAAUAUACUGUGGACUGCCAAAAGAAUGAACAAAUCUGUCUUGGAAGAAGUACAACCAGAAUGUUCCUUAGAAGCAAGGAUUCAAGACUAUAGCUCACAUACUUCAGACAUGUUAUCAGGAAGGAUCAGUCCCUGGAAAAGGACAUCAUGCUUGGUGAAGUAGAGGUCAGAGAAAAAGAGGAAGACCCUCAACGAAAUAGAUUGACCCAGUGGCUACAACAGUGGAUUCAAGCAUAACAACAACUAUUGGAGACAUAAAAACAGCUGAAAAGUAUUUUCAAGACGUUGAGAAACUAACACAGAAAUUGGACGGACUACAGGGUAAAAUAAUGGUUUUAAUGAACA